CGGAUUGAAGGCUGAAAUUCGCCUUCCAUGAAGCUGGAAUUGCUGUAAUGGCAGGUCAGCAUACUGCCGUGAAUGCGUUCCCGGGCCUUGUACACACCGCCCGUCACACCAUGAGAGUUGGAAAUACCCGAAGCCUGUGAGCUAACUUAAAGAGGCAGCAGUCGAAGGUAGAGCCGAUGAUUGGGGUGAAGUCGUAACAAGGUAUC
rnacentral:rRNA from 1 species